CGGCAGCGGGGAGCCCCGGGAUCGCGGCCGUGCGGUACUCGUGGAAGCCUGCGGCAGCGCACCGGGAGAAAGGAAGGGGCCGGAGCACCAGCACAGACACCACUACAGAAGUGGCGAAUCAAGGGAAGCAAGGACCGUCAGUGCAGCAACCACGAAUCUUGGCUCACGAGGAAGUUAUUGUCAUGAACACAAAACUCAACAUUGCUACAACUGAAGGAAAAUCCCAGAGAAAGAAGCAGCUGCCUGCAGCACACUCUCAGCAUGCUGAUGCCUCCUACAAAACAGGAACCUGCAGGGCUUAUGUGAAAAGCAGGGACACAUCUGUACAGCAGGCAGACAGACAGACCCUGAGCCACUGUUUCUGCAUCUUAGGAACCCCGUAUGGCAGAAAAUUCUGAUGCUGGAGAAAAACUCAAGGGCAAUCUAAAAUAUAAUGCUUUAUUAAAAACCUGCAUUCCGUUUACCUCAUUGAUAACAGAGAAAACGCCUUAUUCACUGUUAAUAUGGUUAACUGCAUUCAUUAUUUUAUUCCUAAGACUGACCUUUAAAAGUUAGACAAAAAGAAAAUUAAGCCUGAUGCCAUAAGAAAACAGCUUGAUUGCAGAAACAUCAGUUUAAACAGCAAUCACAUUUACUAUCCUCCAGAUACAAAACGUAGAAAUCCAAAGUGCUCUAUUGUUAUGAAACAAACUAAGCUUCAACAUCCCUCUGAAGUAGGGGACAGUCUCACCCUCAUUUUAUUACAGAUGAGGAGAAAUUCACAUCCAGAAAAAUUGACUUGCUGUCUGUGCCACCCAGUUAGUGGCAAAGCUUGAAACAGAGGUUGUGUUCCCUCAUCUCUUAACAGGACUUUGGUUGUCCUAACAGAAUGCACAAUGUGAAAUCUGGCCAUAAAAGUUUAACAGCAAGGAUUGUCACAGGUUAUAAUCUAUAUUAUACUUUACCAGCAUUUCUAAAAGUGAAUUAUGUCUGCAAAUUUAAAAUACAAAAAAUAAAAGCAUUGCCCUGCUUCAGGCUGAAGGCAGUGAAAUACCAUGCUAUCAGUCUUUUCAAUGCCCUCCAAGCUUGGGUCGGCUUUUUUUUUUUUUUUAAUAUUUAACCAAAAAUUGUAAGAGAUGUGAAGUCACUGGAAUAUUACAGUAGGAUAGAUGUUUCCUAUUCCAAAAAUUAAAUGUCAAAGCAAAGGUUAAGCAUUUAAUUUUGCCUUGGCAUUUAGCAAGCAGUUGGAGGCUGCUGCCCUGCAGAGCUCUCUAUUUUGGCACUACUGCCUAAUUAACACCGAUAUUGAAGAACUGUUUAACAUAAGACAUUCACUCAAGGCACCAAGGCUCCUUCUCUGCAGAAAAGCUGAGGUUGUUUUUCAUUGUGUCAGGACCCCAUUAGAGCAUCAUGUAAGACUUUAUUACACUGCUUGUGUAUAAAUGUCAGCUAAUGCUUUCCACUCCUUCUUUCAGUCUGCUAAUACAAUGUUUGAAUGCACAGAAGUUCACUUAAAUUCAGAAGCCAAGAAAGUAAGGUUACAAACGAGGCUAAGAGUUACUUCUUCCUCCUAAUGGCUACUUUAAAUUCAGUCACAUCAGUAAACACAUCCAAUGCUGAUAUUCUAUGUAGGAAGCCGUUACUCUUAAUUAGCAGACGCAAAUGCAUAUAAUUAGAAAUUAGAAAUGAUAAUGUGAUACUUAAAGCCAGCAGAGAAGAUUCAUAGGAAGCACAGCUGUUUGUUCUAAAACGGGUCAGCUUACUGCAAACAGGUGAAUGCUGCAUCACCCUCUUCAGUGCUGCUUUUUUUCCAUUAUACCAGGCUGUAGAAAUAUGUAGGAAUGUGUAUGUGUGUCAGAACAGAUAUCCUUUACCUCGAAAGCAAAUUAUGAUGAGAAUUACAAAGUACACAUUGCAUCAAAAACGCAUGUUGAAAAUUAUCAGAGCUUAGCAGUGAGAUUGUACUAUCAGCGUGUCAUGAUUUUGGUGGAAGAACAUCCAGUUAACAUUCCACCCUGGAACAGUUUCAGAUAAGCAGGACUCUUCUUAAGAGAAAAUAAAUUACUUUGUACCACUUGCACAAGAAAAAAGAAGUUUAACCUAUGAACUGUGUAAGUGAUGGCAGAAUCCAUGUCUACAUUUACAAUUACUGAGCUUUCAUGUAAAUUAUGCAAUUGCGUAAGAAACAACCCAGGGCAUUCCAGAUUUCAUCAGAAAAAUGGCACAGCAGCUGUCCCUAGGAUGGGAAUCUCUAAUAGCACUAUCAUUUAGUGGUGUGCACACAUCCCAGAACACGCCUCACAGUGAAUUUCCUGAUGCUUUCCAAUUCCUGGUCUGUCCACCAGUGGAGGGAACUAUUGGACUGUCAGUGAAAUCCCACCACAGCUAUUCACCGAGGAUCUUCUCAGCCACAUCCUGAACACCUUAUCCGGACAAACACCAUGACCAUGGUUUUAAAACUGUCUUUUAAAUAGAGGAAACUAAUUGUUGCUAUGGGAUACGAGGAAAAGAAAACUAGCUAAAUCAAUGCAAAAGCUUUCCCCCCCCGGUUCUUACAGCAUAGUAAGAACUCCACAACAUGAAUCACUCCUCUUAAGGAAUAUUGUGAGCACAGAUGUGAACCACCAGCUGAAGUAUCUGUACCAGCAGACUGAUCUGACACACUCUUUCACUUUGUCAUUUUUCUGCUUAUAACUUCCCUGAACAGUUGUGCAAAGCUACCCACGUCACUUAAUCUGCUAACAUCCACUGUGAUGAAAAAAAAAAAAUCAUUUACCAAGAAAUACAAAUGCCAUACGAAUGAAUUUUUAAAAGCCAGACUUACUCGUUACAUUAUGGAAAAAACAAAAAAGUACGAGACAAAACUGAAACUAUCAAGUAAAGCAAAAAGACCAUUUCACUACAGUCUCCACUGGUGGCUUCAAAGCACUCACCAUGAUUUAAUAUAAAUAGUAUCAGUGAAGAAAAAUCGACUGAAAAAAAGAAGAAAAAUGAAAUCCACAUCACACUUUAUC